rnacentral:pre_miRNA from 1 species
GGUUGGGUUGGUGGAGAUAGAAAAUUGACAGAAGAGAGUGAGCACACAGAGGUAGAUGGCAUAAUGUGUAUGCUAUUGCUUUUGCGUGCUCAUUUCUCUUUCUGUCACUUGCUCACUCUCCCUGCCUGCCUUGACC